rnacentral:rRNA from 1 species
UACGUAGGGUGCGAGCGUUAAUCGGCAUUACUGGGCGUAAAGCGUGCGCAGGCGGUUUACUAAGCCAGGUGUGAAAUCCCCGGGCUCAACCUGGGAAUUGCGCUUGAUACUGGUAAACUAGAGUUUAGUAGAGGGAAGUGGAAUUCCACGUGUAGCGGUGAAAUGCGUAGAUAUGUGGAGGAACACCAGUGGCGAAGGCGGCUUCCUGGACUAAAACUGACACUGAGGUACGAAAGCGUGGGUAGCAAACAGG